UUCUGUCUUAUUCUUCUAUCGUUUGUAGCUCAUAUGCCAACAGUGGGUUUUUUGGGGGGGGGAGACUCAGGGUUCGAGUGAGGAGAGGGAGCGUGAGAAUCGUCUGCCUCAUCCAAGGAAGGCAGCAGGCACGCAAAUUACCCAAUCCCAGCCCGGGGAGGUAGUGACGAAAAAUAACAAUGCGGGACUCUUCCGAGUUUGCGUAAUUGGAAUGAGAACACUUUAAAUCCUUUACCGACAACCAAUUGGAGGGCAAGUCUGGUGCCAGCAGCCGCGGUAAUUCCAGCUCCAAUAGCGUAUAUUAAAGUAGUUGAGGUUAAAAAGUUUGUAGUUUGAGCUCGGCUCCGGACUGCGCGGGGGGGUCACCGCCCGGUGCCCUUCCGCCAGGUUCCGGAAUUUUCCACUGAGUUGGAGGCGAGCCGGUUCUUGCCGGGGUGGUCUUGACCGAGUGUCCCGAGCGGCCGGCCAGUUCACCUUGAACAAAGGAGAGUGCUCAAAGCAGGCUACUCUUAAACAUAAAGCCCGGAUGAUUCAUGCAUGGAAUGAUGGAAGAUGAUCUCGGUUUCAUUUUGUUGGUGGUGGGAACCAGAGUUAAUGAUAAAGAGGGACUGUCGGGGGCGUCCGUCCUACGACGCGAGAGGUGAAAUUCAGUGACCGUCGUAGGACGAACAACAGCGAAAGCAUUCGCCAAGAAUGUCUUCCUUUAUCAAGAACGAAAGUUAGAGGAUCGAAGGCGAUCAGAUACCGCCCUAGUUCUAACCCUAAACGAUGCUGACCAGCAAUCCGCCGUCGUUAUUCCCAUGACGUGGCGGGACGCCCCCUGGAAUCCUCAAGUCUUCUCCC
rnacentral:rRNA from 1 species